GGAAGAACACCAGUGGCGAAGGCGGCUUUCUGGACUGUAACUGACGCUGAGGCACGAAAGCGUGGGUAGCAAACAGGAUUAGAUACCCUGGUAGUCCACGCCGUAAACGAUGGAUACUAGGUGUAGGGGGUAUCAACUCCCCCUGUGCCGCAGUUAACACAAUAAGUAUCCCGCCUGGGGAGUACGGUCGCAAGAUUAAAACUCAAAGGAAUUGACGGGGGCCCGCACAAGCAG
rnacentral:rRNA from 1 species